UACGUAGGUGACAAGCGUUGUCCGGAUUUAUUGGGCGUAAAGCGAGCGCAGGCGGUCUUUUAAGUCUGAUGUGAAAGCCCACGGCUCAACCGUGGAUGGUCAUUGGAAACUGGGAGACUUGAAUGCAGAAGAGGAAAGUGGAAUUCCAUGUGUAGCGGUGAAAUGCGUAGAUAUAUGGAGGAACACCAGUGGCGAAGGCGACUUUCUGGUCUGUAAUUGACGCUGAGGCUCGAAAGCGUGGGGAGCAAAC
rnacentral:rRNA from 1 species